UAAGAAUAAACGGUCAUGCAUGUUCUUCCACCACUCUUCUGAAGCUGACUAUAUAUACCCCUUUAUAUUUCGCUUGAGUUGAUAUAUCAUAUACUCGGAGCUUCUUUAGAUUAACUGAAGGAAUGAAGUUGAUGGUGAUCACCUCCUCUCUGAUAGUAGUCAUGUUUCUAAUGAGCUCGUCAGUAAUUGUGAUGGCAGCUGCAAGAGAGGGUCCAUAUGAGGAAGUAGCCAUGGCUGCCCACCAGGAUGAGGCGGCCAAUCCUCUGGGCCAUGGGACGAUGCAAAACUUAGAGAACUCCAGGUUACUUGAUACAGCUCUAAUAGAUUCGAUCCCCAUCGGAUCUAAAUGCAACGCCAGAAAUCCCUGCCCGAACCCCCCGUGAACACGAAAUCUAUAUAAAAUGACCAAGUUGAAGCUUUAUUAACUACUUUACGCUUACAUAUAAUGGAAUAAUGGAUGAGGCUUCAUCAUGUAUGAUCCAUGUCCCUUGCCCACAUAUGUAUGAAAGUCAUGUAUAUAUAUAUAUAGUGUGCCACUAUUAUACAUGCCAACGUUUUAUACAUAUGUGUUGCGACUAUAUAUAUAUAAAAGUAAAGUUUAUGUAAA